GGAAGUAAAAGUCGUAACAAGGUUUCCGUAGGUGAACCUGCGGAAGGAUCAUUAUUGAAUACCACUCGAUAGGUUGUAGCUGGCUCUUUGGAGCAUGUGCACGCCUGUCUUGGACUUCUAUUCAUCCACCUGUGCACUAUUUGUAGUCUUUGGAGACUGAGAUGGAACAGCUUACCAGUCGGUCGACAGAUCGGAAUAGAGGAUUGCCUGAGGCUCUCUUUAACCCAACUGUGAAGUCUAUCUCCAGAGUCUAUGUUUUCAUUCAUAAACCAAGUAUGUUGUCGAAUGUAGUCAUUAGGCUAUGAUGCCUAUAAAAUGUUAUACAACUUUCAGCAACGGAUCUCUUGGCUCUCGCAUCGAUGAAGAACGCAGCGAAAUGCGAUAAGUAAUGUGAAUUGCAGAAUUCAGUGAAUCAUCGAAUCUUUGAACGCACCUUGCGCUCCUUGGUAUUCCGAGGAGCAUGCCUGUUUGAGUGUCAGUUUAUUAUCAACCCCUCCAGCUCUUGUAGUUGGUAUUGGUGGCUUGGAUAUGGAGGUUUUGCAGGCCCUUUUGAAGUGUCAGCUCCUCUGAAAUGCAUUAGCAGAACCGUUUGCGAUCUGUUAACUGGUGUGAUAAUUGUCUAUGCCAGUGGAUUGCUCUCUGCAUGUUCAGCUUCUAAUAGCUUCCUUAUAUGAACCUUUGACCUCAAAUCAG
rnacentral:rRNA from 1 species